AGUCGAGAAUAUUCCACAAUGGGGGAAACCCUGAUGGAGCGACACCGCGUGCGGGAUGAAGGCCUUAGGGUCGUAAACCGCUUUUAUUAGGGAUCAAUGUACUGAGCGUACCUAAUGAAUAAGAGGUUACUAACUCUGUGCCAGCAGUAGCGGUAAUACAGAGACCUCAAGCGUUAUCCGGAUUUAUUGGGCGUAAAGCGUAUGUAGGCGGACAUGUUAGUCGUGGGUCAAAUUUCCGAGCUUAACUCGGGAGCUGCUCACGAAACGGCAUGUCUAGAGAAAGUGAGAGAUGACUGGAACUCAUGGUGUAGUAGUGAAAUGCGUUGAUAUCAUGGGGAACACCAAAGGCGAAGGCAGGUCAUUGGCACUUUUCUGACGCUGAGAUACGAAAGCGUGGGUAGCGAAUGGGAUUAGAUACCCCAGUAGUCCACGCCGUAAACGAUGCAUAUUCAGCAUGUGGAGUAUCGACCCUCUGCGUGUUUUAGCUAACGCGUUAAAUAUGCCGCCUGGGAAGUACGAGCGCAAGCUUAAAACUCAAAGGAAUAGACGGGGAUCCGCACAAGUGGUGGAGCAUGUGGUUUAAUUCGACAAUAAGCGAGAAACCUCACCAGGACUAGAAACUUAGCUGCAAGCCUUAGAAAUAAGGCCGCCUUCGAGGGUGCUAAGCAGGUGCUGCAUGGUCGUCGUCAGCUCGUGCCGUAAGGUGUUCCCUUAAGUGGGGAAACGAGCGCAACCCUUGUCGUAUGUUAUAUAUGUCAUACGAGACUGCCCAGACUUUAGUCUGUGAAUCAAUUGAUUCGUAGUUUAAAGUCUGGGAGGAAGGAGAGGAUGACGUCAGAUCAGCAUGGCCCUUGACGUCCUGGGCAACACACGUGCUACAAUGGCUAGAAUAAAGGGUUGCCAAACCGCGAGGUGGAGCUAAUCCCAAAAAUCUAGUCUCAGUUCGGAUUGGAGUCUGCAACUCGACUCCAUGAAGUCGGAAUCACUAGUAAUCGUGAAUCAGAAUGUCACGGUGAAUACGUUCUCGGAUCUUGUACUCACCGCCCGUCAUACCAAGAGAGCUGGUAACACCCAAAGCUCCUGUGUAAAAGCAGGAACAACGGUGGGAUCGGUAAUAAGGGUA
rnacentral:rRNA from 1 species